UGGGAAUGGGAGUUUCUACUCCAAAGAAUCCCUUGGGAACAGACGGAUUUGCCAAUGCUUGUAGUCUGGGCCAGGUCCCUGGAGCCUGCAGCCUCCCUGGGCUGGUGAGUUUUUCCCCUGAAGGAGCCUUCCAGGGCUGGCAAAUGAGAUCAUAUGGUACUACCCUGAGUCCUACAUUCACUGCUGGUUUUGACAUUUCAUAUGGACAAGAAGAAGCCCUACCCCAGUAAGCCCA